rnacentral:miRNA from 1 species
AGAGCGUGUGGAGAAGAGAGACG